rnacentral:rRNA from 1 species
GAUGAACGCUGGCGGCGUGCCUAAUACAUGCAAGUCGAGCGAACAGACGAGGAGCUUGCUCCUCUGACGUUAGCGGCGGACGGGUGAGUAACACGUGGAUAACCUACCUAUAAGACUGGGAUAACUUCGGGAAACCGGAGCUAAUACCGGAUAAUAUAUUGAACCGCAUGGUUCAAUAGUGAAAGACGGUUUUGCUGUCACUUAUAGAUGGAUCCGCGCCGCAUUAGCUAGUUGGUAAGGUAACGGCUUACCAAGGCGACGAUGCGUAGCCGACCUGAGAGAGUGAUCGGCCACACUGGAACUGAGACACGGUCCAGACUCCUACGGGAGGCAGCAGUAGGGAAUCUUCCGCAAUGGGCGAGAGCCUGACGGAGCAACGCCGCGUGAGUGAUGAAGGUCUUCGGAUCGUAAAACUCUGUUAUUAGGGGAGAACAAAUGUGUAAGUAACUAUGCACGUCUUGACGGUACCUGAUCAGAAAGCCACGGCUAACUACGUG